rnacentral:sRNA from 1 species
GGCGACUAGGAAGCGUGUCUUUGAAGGGAAAUGCUUA